UGCAUUUGUGUGCUAAUAUUGUUGAGCUUCCUUCUCUGGGGGAAGUGAGAGGAGGAAACUCCUCCAUGGCUGGAAUGGGGGUGGGUAUGAAGGUACAAGGUUCUCUGGGAGAGUCAUGCUGACUUUUAACCUUGAAUGCCUCUUGCAGAGCAUCCAACAAAGCACUGCUGAUUUUGAGAAAUAGGGGACCCUGUGAAAACUCCUGUGUAUAUACACAUUUGAGCCAAAUAGGUUAGUCAAAAGUAAAAUUUGGAUUUAGGAAAAUUAUUUAAUUAUUAUAAGAAUCACUAAUGAACAAUAACAUACAAGACCUUCAAAGUAUGCGUAUGAAUGCCUCAGGAGAGCUCUUACAAGUCAUGAAAGGGAUAGAAUUACUACUUUUGAGGGCUGGGGAAAGGAAAGAAGAAAAAUGUUAAACAUUUUACCAAAAUAAAGGAAGUGUUUUUUUUCCCUCUCCCUCCUCCUCCUCCCGCUCCUCCCCCUCCCCGCCCCCUUCCUUCUUGUUAUUUUGAGUCUCACUUCUCGCCUAGGCUGGAGUGCACUGGCAUGAUCUCAGCUCACUGCAACCUCCACCUCAUGGAUUCAAGUGAUUCUUCUGCCUCAGCCUCCCAAGCAGCUGGGAUUACACGCAUCCACCGCCAGGCCCGGCUAAUUUUUGUAUUUUUAGUAGAGACAGGUGUUUCACCAUGUUGGCCAGGCUGGUCUCAAACUCCUGACCUCAGGUCAUCCACCCGCCUCCGCCUCCCAAAAUGCUGGGUUACAGGCGAUAGCCACCGCACCCGGUCUUUUCCUUCAUUAUUAAUAGAAUACGGGAAACAAAGUGUUAACAGAAAAUCAUUUCAAUUAAAAGAUAGUAGACAAAUAUUAAUACCCUGAUUUAGUUCUACCCAAUGUUUCAAUCUGUUUCAUAGGGCACAAAUCAAUCAGACUAAAUGAAUGCAAUACUUCUGAUAUUCCAUUUGUAAAGCAAAAUACCAGUGUACUCUCAUAUUUACAAUUAAGUAAACAGCAGUGCAAAGAAGAUAGCCCAAUUGCGAAUAGUUAGUAUGUGUAGUCUAGCUUUUAAUUAACUAAAAGCAGGGCCAGAAUACUUGCUGUGACUCCCUCUACCUAGAGGUGUAUUUAUUAGCCAGUGAGCUACAGGAAAAAUCUCAUUUUUCUCCCAGCUUUAUCUCCAAAUUCAGCCUUCUAAUGAAAGUAUAGAAUAUAUCUGACUUUACCUGAUCAGUAAUUGUUAGAAGUUGUGUCACCCUUUUUGAAAAUGAGUAGGCGUGAGCCAUCAGGCCCGGCCGCCUUCUGAUAGUUUCAAGA
rnacentral:lncRNA from 10 species